UGCCCCAUGGCUGAGUUGGUUACAGCGUCCGACUGUUAUUAAGUUUACACUAAGCAAUCGGAAGGUCGUGAGUUCGAGCCUCACUGGGGCAG